GAUGAACGCUAGCUACAGGCUUAACACAUGCAAGUCGAGGGGCAGCACAGUGUAGCAAUACACGGGUGGCGACCGGCGCACGGGUGCGUAACGCGUAUCCAACCUUCCCGAUACUCUUGGAUAGCCUUCCGAAAGGGAGAUUAAUACAAGAUGGUGUUUCACUUUCGCAUGUUAUUGAAACUAAAGAUUUAUCGGUAUCGGAUGGGGAUGCGUGACAUUAGAUAGUAGGCGGGGUAACGGCCCACCUAGUCUACGAUGUCUAGGGGUUCUGAGAGGAAGGUCCCCCACACUGGAACUGAGACACGGUCCAGACUCCUACGGGAGGCAGCAGUGAGGAAUAUUGGUCAAUGGUCGGAAGACUGAACCAGCCAAGUAGCGUGAAGGAUGAAGGUUCUAUGGAUUGUAAACUUCUUUUAUACGGGAAUAAAACCUCCCACGUGUGGGAGCUUGUAUGUACCGUAUGAAUAAGCAUCGGCUAACUCCGUGCCAGCCGCCGCAGUAAAAC
rnacentral:rRNA from 1 species